rfam:Drosophila ananassae strain TSC#14024-0371.13 Ctg01_9168, whole genome shotgun sequence.
CAAUCGGUCCUUUUCAGGACCACAAUUUCUUGAACAAAAAAAGAG